AUUUUUAGAUUUUUUGAAAUUUCCAGUCAAAGUUUUGGAAAUUUCAAAAUGUUUGAAAAAU
ensembl:ncRNA C09D1.4 ncRNA